AAGGAAAUGGAAUGGAAAUAGAAACAUGGAGAGAUGAAGGAAUAAUAUAAAAUUUCCAAUCAUUGAAAAAAAAAAACCUCAUGCCUUUAUAGUGAGAUGUUAGGAAGUCCCAAAUCAUCUGAUAUAUAAUUUUGUUUGGCCUUUAAAACAGUUUGCAUGGGCCUGGUGGCACACCCCUUUAAUCUCAGGACUUGAGAAGCAGAUGCAAGUGAAUGUUUGAGUUGAAGACCACCCUAAUAUCCUGUUAUAGAAAGGGAGUCCCAGGCCAACGGGGGCCACAUAGUGAGUGAGACCUUGUCUCAAGAAGAGAGGGAAAAAAAGAGAAGAAGAAUAUGUAGAGUUUUGUUUAGGAAAACCACACAGAAAUCUUUUGAAAUUAUUUAAAUUUAUAAUAAAAGAUUAACAUCAACUUCAAUAUAUGUUACUCUUUUGUAGAACCAUGUUUGGGGACAUGUGAGAAAAAAAUGUUAGGAUUAUUUGGGGAGGAGUGAGAUUUUAGUGCCUAAAAGAAGGCAGUGGACACAUGGAAAUACAAGAAGACACAGGCAGGAGAGAAGCCAGCGGUUGAGUCAUUUAUCUUCAUGGAGUUUGGACAAUGGCCACAUCCGUCUCUGACAAGGAUUCCUGGAAAAAUUCCCAGAGCCAUAGAAACAUGGGAUGCAAUGUUUUCUUUUUAAUCACAGUGUUGAGUUCCAGAAAAUUUUCCAAGAUAGCAGUUCCUAUUAGAAAUUUAAAAGCGAAACCUUCACUUACUGUAAAUGUCUGAGAUGUACACUAUAAAGGAAGUACAUUAUUUCAUACAUAGAAAUACUGGCUACCCUACCACACUCAUCCUAGGUUUUAUUGUUUUGAAUAUAAAAUGCUAAAACACAUUGGUGUCCCUCAUUCAUUUGUAUAACAUGGUAGAAAUGUCUGGUUUGUGCCAAGUGCUGCCUUGGAGCUGUGGGUGCGGACAAUGCACCCAAGCCACACCCUCUGACAGGUGGGUAGAGGAAGAUGGGCCUAAGAAUUAGCUGGCUAUGUGGGCAGGAGUUAGCAUACACAAAGAGCACUCUGUGCUUCAUCAUAAUUAGCCUGCAUGCAUUUUUGUCUUGAACACUGGCAGAUCUUGGAAAACCUUCAGGGAUCUAAAUAAAAAGAAUAUAUUUUAGAAACAAAACUUUGAGUAGAAAGAUUACACUGUGGAAUAUGGUAGGGAUCAAGAAACUGAAUUCCAAAGCUACUGUGAUAUUCUAGACAUAGCUGAUGGCUGGUGCUAAUGUGUCUAAAACUUAGGUUUUCACAAACUCAAAGGAUUCUUAUAAGUUCCAGGGAGCAGAAUUGGACCCACUCAAACAGGUCAGAGUCACUACAGAUAAAUAUUAUUCAACCUUUCCCUGGUCCCAGGACUCCCUUCCUUCAUCUUGGAACCUCUUGGGGAAUUCCUCCCUCAUAUGAUCCUCUCCCCUCAAGUACUAGGACCUAAGAUUUUUUUCCUAAAUUUAACCUUUUCCUCUGCUCUGCCAACAUCUUGCCAGGUCUAAGAGGUGCCAGAGAGUUCCAUACAGUCUGGACUGAAAUGAAACAACCAGCUACCCCAGGACAUGGGUGGCAGCAACCCCAGUUUUCUCAGGUCUACAAAAGAUGGUGACACCCCCAUGUCAGUAGCAAGUAGUCUUGAGAACUUGGCACAUAACUCCUAACCUUUUUAAUAAUAAAUAAAGGUGGGACUAUAAGGAUUCAGGCAUUAUGCUGGCCUGCCCCUGUUACCUGGCAGAAUGCGCUCAGGCAGAACCCAGGGUUCUAUGGUUGUGGAUCUGCACACAGGCUCAAAGGACCCCUUUAAAAGAAAGACCCCCAUCCACUUAUGCUCUCUUUCUGUUCUCUUCUGUUCUCUUUCCUCGCAGUUCCCCUGGGACAGAAGGGCUUUUCCUGUCUCCUCUCCUCUUCUGUCCUCUCAGUGUCUCUGCAUCUCUUCACCUCUUUUCUCUUUCCUUCCCCCUUCCCUCCCCUUUCUAAUAAAACUUCCCACUUAAGCUCUGUCUGCCUGGCGUGUUUGUCCCUCUAUCUUAGUCACCCUCAUCUUCCAUGGAAUCUGCCAAGGUCCCCAGGAGCUUUAUCAUAAUAGCUGGGCUCAAUUAAUCUUGAUAACAGUGGAAAUAAACUUGAUUGGCUGAGAAGACAUGCAACCAGGAGUAAAUGAUUUAGAGAUGAGUGAAAAAAAGAACUGAGGUUAGAGAUGAGCAGGGGGGAUGGGCAGGAGAAGAGAAAGACCACCAGGAACAUAAGUACCAUCCUAGGAUGCAGAUGACUCUUCUUCCCC
rnacentral:lncRNA from 1 species